rnacentral:lncRNA from 1 species
UAGGACCCCAUUUCCCCUUCUAGGACCCAAUCCCCUCCUAGUCCCGCCCGUCUCUCCCGGAUGCGCCCUCCCAUUCGUCGGAGGGGGAGGCGGGAUCCGGGAGCUACCGCCUCUGAUUGGCUGGGGCGGGAGCGCGGGAAAGCGGCGGCGGGGGCGCCUUCCCGGCGUGCACCGCGCGGGGGAACUGGGAGAGACCUGGGAGGGAACUGGAAGGUACUGGGGGAAACUGGGAGGGACUGGGGAAAACUGGGAGAGACUGGGAGCGUGGGCAGGGGGAGCUGGGAACAACUGGGAGGGACUGGGAGGUUACUGGGACUGGGGACAGGCUAUACUGGUCCAUACUGGUCCAUACUGGGAACUGUCCCCCCACAGGUCGCCGAUGGCCGAGCCCUGCCCGGGCCCUCCCAGUGCUCCCAGUGCCCCCCAGUGCUCCCAGUUGCCCCCUCCCACUCUGGAGGGGCUCAUUCCCCCCUCCCAUUUUGUGCUGCGUCCCAGGUCCCUGGGGGUGGAGCUUGAGGCAGAAAGGGGGCGUGUCCAUGAAUUGGAGGUGGAGCUGAAAGCACUGAAGGGGCGGAGCCAGCACCUGGAGGCAGAGCUUGAGGCUGAAAGGAGGCGGAGCCAGCACCUGGAGGCAGAGCUUGAGGCUGAAAGGAGGCGGAGCCAGCAGCUGGAGGCGGAGCUUGAAACAGAAAAGGGGCGGAGCCAAUCACUGGAGGCAGAACUUAAGUCAGAAAGGGGGCGGAGCCAAGGACUGGGGGUGGAGCUCGAUGCCCUGAGGGGGCGUGGCCAGCGAUUGGAGGCAGAGCUGGAUGCAGAAAAGGGGCGGAGCCAAAUCCUGGAGACGGAGCUGGAGACCCUGAGGAGGCGGGGCCUUGGCCCAGAGGAGGUGGAGCAAAGCCCAGAGCAGGUGUUGCUGGGCCGCUGGCGCCAGAAGGUUUUCCAGCUGCUGCUGCAGGUGAGGCUGCAGCAGGGCCAGGAGCUGCAGCUGCAGGGACAGGUGCGCUCCCUGGGUGCUGCAGUGGCCGCCGGGUCCCGACAGGUGUCGCUGUUGGAGCUGCGGCUGCGCCAGGGGGAGCAGGAGAGACAGGCCCUGUCCCAGGAGCGGCUCCGGGCGGAGGCGGCCGAGGAGGAACUGGGGAAACUGGGCCAGGCCCUGAGCCGGUAG